rnacentral:rRNA from 1 species
CAGCCGCCACGGUAAUACGUAGGUGGCAAGCGUUGUCCGGAAUUAUUGGGCGUAAAGCGCGCGCAGGUGGUUUAAUAAGUCUGACGUGAAAGCCCACGGCUCAACCGUGGAGGGUCAUUGGAAACUGUUAAACUUGAGUGCAGGAGAGAAAAGUGGAAUUCCUAGUGUAGCGGUGAAAUGCGUAGAGAUUAGGAGGAACACCAGUGGCGAAGGCGGCUUUUUGGCCUGUAACUGACACUGAGGCGCGAGAGCGUGGGGAGCAAACAGGAUUAGAUACCCCUGUAGUCCCUGUCUCUUAUAC